GUAGGCCCCGAGCGUUGUCCGGAUUUAUUGGGCGUAAAGUGAGCGCAGGCGGUUAGAUAAGUCUGAAGUUAAAGGCUGUGGCUUAACCAUAGUACGCUUUGGAAACUGUUUAACUUGAGUGCAAGAGGGGAGAGUGGAAUUCCAUGUGUAGCGGUGAAAUGCGUAGAUAUAUGGAGGAACACCGGUGGCGAAAGCGGCUCUCUGGCUUGUAACUGACGCUGAGGCUCGAAAGCGUGGGGAGCAAACAGGGAUUAGAUACCCUGGUAGUCCACGCCGUAAACGAUGAGUGCUAGGUGUUAGAUCCUUUCCGGGGUUUAGUGCCCGCAGCUAACGCAUUAAGCACUCCGCCUGGGGAGUACGACCGCAAGGUUG
rnacentral:rRNA from 1 species